AACAUAUGGGAAUUAAACAGUUUCUGGUGAGACAAAUACAGAAAAUUAAGAAUUUCAGCUUUUACGUCGUUGAUUUUCUGGCAAAUAACCGAUAAUACUACAUAAACUUCAGUUCCACACUAAUGAAAGCAAAUCAUAGGAAAGAAAUACUCUUCACUUGAACAUAUUGUUAGAACAAAUCCGCAACGAAUAAUCCGAUCGUGAUAAAAUCUAACUAAUUAUGUGAUAAAAUUAAUAAAACUAACUUACAGAUAAUCGCUUAAUCCCAAAAUUCGUGGAAGAAGAAUAUCAACAAAUUGGUCCGGAAGCGUGCGAGGCACUGUCCUAAGGCGUAUUCCCGUCCUUCGUGCGGGAUUAACCGGAAACACCGCCCCAAGAUACGACCGGAAUUCCUCCUCCUACGGACACGAACGCGGAAGAGGUUGACGGAGCUUCUUUCAACACCCGAUGACGAAAGAAUUAAAUAAAUAAGAGAAAAUGUAGAGCAUAAAACUAAUUUCUCAAAACUUAUACGGAAGCUUUUCUUUGCUGUUAAUGUACGAAAAAAAAAAUCACACCCUCAUAAUUAGUACCCCCAAGCAUUUAUAGAGAGGGCUAAGGAUCAGAACGUUGGAGUCCAACGUUCAAAACCCAUAAACUUAGCUACCUCCUAAUGAUCAGCAUGCACUGGGUAACUUCCGGCACGUGAGGCGCAACGUCUUCCGCUUCUCCGCGCGAGCGGAGCGGGUGCGCGCGCAACGACUUUCCGCUUCUCCGCGCGAGCGGAGCGGGAGCGCAAAAAGAAAUAUUAAAUAAAUAAUAAUACAUUAAAUAAAUUAAAUAAAAUAAAAUAAAUAAUAAAUAAACAUUAAAGAUUUUAAAUUUUUCAUUAACAAUCCCCCAUAAAAUUUAAAAUCUCGAAAUAAGAAUCAAACUUGAGAACAAAAAAUAAAAAAAAUUACCGGGUGUUUAUACUAUGCAAUAGGUAAGGUGUCUUUAAAAGACUUAACCUCACUUAGUGUAAAUAGUUUCCAUCAGAAGGAAUCGGAGUGAACCAGGUCUUGAACUACGUUCCUUUGGCCCUGAUUUCAACUACCACACACACAGUACAGAAAUAUCCGUCGCGGGUCUGUGCGUUAAUGGCCAUGCACAGUAUCUUGAUUUUUCAUAAGAGCUUCUAUGGAUAACCCACAUCUCAUAGCCGCGGCCACAUACGGAUACUCUUAUAUAGGUGGUUUCCUCCAGGGAUGUGUGUAGAGUCACAUCUCGCGAAAAUUAUCGCCUCGGAUCCCAUUAAGAGCUAUAAGCUCAGAACUUCAGACCACUACACAGGCACUACCUCACCAUAGGGAUGGGAUUGGUAGCUACCAAGCUCCCUUAUCAAACUCGUUAGGACAGUGCUUCUUUGGACCAACUAGCACUUGUUUUACCACAUUGAACCUUCUUCAAGGGAUCUCCUUCACAAAGGUUGGUUUGCCACCAACCCCACCAGGAAAGGCCCUAUAGGCCAACAGCUCCCUCUCGAUGACUUCAGGCCUUAGUCCUAUCAGCCUUUCGUCAAGGCAAUACAUCGACAAGAUUCUGAAUCAAUCUGAAAUAACUAUAAAAAAAUAAUUAUCAUUGAGAAUGUUAACACAUUCUAACAGGACAUUUGUCUCAACUUUAUAUUCUACUAGCUUUAGAACUUUUACCAACUUCUUUUUACAAAAUCAAUUGCCAGCUCGGACGAAUACACGCUAGAUAGAAUAGGUGGAAUAGGAGAAAAAAUCAACGAAUCGCAUUAACAGUAAAUUCUUGAGCCACUCGCUUCAAGACAAGUAGUAUCCAAGGAGCACUACUCAGCCUUCGCAUGUACUAUCUGCUAUUUAAGUCGUUUGUGGGAUUGCCAAGAAACUGCACCUCCACCAAGAAAUAAAAACAAUACAGCAAGUUGACUUGAUAUCCAAAGAAUCAGAAGAUCCAAUUGCGCAUUCGGCUAUCCCUCAAUUACAGCGAUAGCAUAGAAACGAAGAGAAUAAGAGAUAGUACCUUUAACGGUAACGAAUACCUUUCCAAGCAAUCCAAAUGGACAUACUAGGUUAAUAAUAUAUCUACUCAAUCUCGAUUACUCGAUAGGCAAUUCAGUCUAGUCCUAUUGUUAUGUGUACAAUCAAAGAACGCAAUACAUCUGGACGAUUAUCUCUCCGUGAUUACAGAAUUACCAGUGUUCUUCACAGUUGAACACUAGGGAUAGAAAAGAAAGAAACAGGAAGAACAAUCAGAAUAUCCAAAUUUAUCAAGAAAGCAAUUGAGUAUAAUGAGAUUGCGUCAGAAAAUAAAUCUGAUGAGCUAAGAAUUUUCAUUCCUAAAAUCACAUCUGCUUCACCAAGAUCCUUCAUAUCAAAAUGAGUCGAUAAAAAGGAUUUAACUUGGUUAAUCAGAUCAAGAUCAGGUGCAAGGAUCAGGAUGUCAUCAACAUAGAGGCAAAGAAGAACACACCGGUCGUCAAAUCUCUUGAAAUAGAGACAGUUGUCAAAAUCGUUUGUCUGAAAUCCAUAUGACUCAAUUACACUGUCGAAUUUCUCGUGCCACUGCUUAGGUGUUUGUUUUAGUCCAUACAAAGAGCAGACUAAUUUACACACCUUAGUCUCUUGACCAGGCACAGAGAAACCUUCAGGUUGAGUCAUAUAAAUUUCUUCUUCAAGAUCUCCAUGAAGAAAAGCGGUUUUGACAUCCAUCUGAUGAAUCAAAAGCUUAUGAAUGGAUGCUAAUGCAAGAAUGACUCGGAUAGUAGCAAUGCGAGCAACAGGUGCAUAUGUGUCAAAGUAAUCAACUUCAGCUUUUUGUCGAAAACCUUGAGCUACAAGCCGCGCCUUAUACUUCUCUACUGAUCCGUCAGUUCUAAGCUUCCUUUUAAAGAUCCACUUACAUCCUAAAGGUUGGUUUCCAGGAGGUAAAUCAGUGAGAAUCCAAGUGUUGUUGCCAAUAAUUGACUCAAUCUCACUGUUUAUAGCCUCCUUUCAAAAAGAAGCUUCAGAAGAACUCAUAGCUUCCUUAUAUGAUGAAGGUGUACUUUCAAUUAAGAAAGUAAAGAAACCUUCACCGAAGUUCUUCUCAAAGCGAGUUCUCUUGCUUCUUCUCAGUUCGGCUGGUGGGUUAGAUUCUACAGGAUCUAAACUAUAUGAUAAAUCAGAUACAGGUAACAAAUCAUAUGUAGAAGCAUGAUCAAUUGUAGGCUGAAAAUCAAGUGCAGAUCUAGAGAUACGAGUUUUGAAAGGAAAGAUAUUUUCAAAGAAGGUUGCAUCUCUAGAUUCAAUCAAGGUAUCAUUGGAAAUCUCAGAAAUCUCAGAGUUGGUUACAAGAAAUCUAUAGGUGUUGCUAUCUAGGGAAUAUCCAAUGAAAAUGGCAUCUACUGUUUUAGGACCAAUCUUCUUUCUUUUGGGUUCAGGAAUAGACACCUUAGCUAAGCACCCCCACACUCGGAAAUAACUCAGCCUAGGUGCUCUUCCCUUCCAAAGUUCAUAAGGUGUCUGGGUUCUAUCCUUAGAAGGAAUCCUAUUGAGGAUAUAACAAGCUGAUAAAAGAGCCUCCCCCCACAAGUUCUAAGAUACACCAGAACUUAAAAUCAUAGCAUUAACCAUGUCUAAUAGGGUUCGGUUCUUUCUUUCAGCUACACCAUUAGACUGAGGUGAGUAAGGAGCAGUUACUUCAUGAAUUAUUCCAUGUUCCUCGCAGAACAAAUUUAAUUCAUUUGAAGUAUACUCGCCUCCUCUAUCAGACCUUAGAAUUUUAAUCCUCUUCUCCAAUUGGUUUUCAGCCUCUGCUUUAAAGGCUUUAAACUUAUUGAGGACUUCAUCUUUGGUCUUCAAGAGAUAGGUGUAACAAAAUUUAGAGUAGUCGUCUAUAAAAGUCACAAAGUAACGACUUCCUCCACGAGUAGGACCUCUAUUAGAAUCACAGACAUCACUAUGAAUCAGUUCAAGAAUCUGAGUGUCCCUAUAAGGAAUAGAUUUAAAAGGUUUUCUGGGCUGCUUAGCUUGGGUACAAAUCUCACAUUUGGACAUAGGAUCAAUCUUGAAUUUGGGUACAAGGUUAAGAUUGGAUAGUUUCAGAAUAGAUCUAAGGUUCACAUGCCCUAAUCUGCCAUGCCAUAUAUCACAAGAUUCGGUAUUCAAAACAAUAGUAGAAGAAGUAGUAGAAGAAGAAUUUUUAUUAUCAACAAAAGAAAGUACAUUCAGUUUGAACAAACCCUCAGAUACAAAACCUUUUCCAAUGAACAUUUCUCCUUUAGAAAUUACAACUUUAUUGGAUUCUAAUACAAUCUUAUAUCCUAAUUGCACUAAUAAAGAUCCACUAAUCAGGUUCCGUUGGAUUUCAGGAGAAUGCUGCACAUUGUGAAGGAUUAACGUCUUUCCUGAAGUUAACUUCAGCUUGACUGUUCCGAUCCCCAACACAUUGACAGCUUUUCCAUCUCCAACAGUCACACAUCCUCCACUUGUGUCCUGAUAAGAGGAGAAUAGGGAUCUAUUAGUGCAAACAUGGACAUUGGCUCCAGAAUCUAACCACCAAUCUAAAUCAUGAUAGGUAAGGUUAACAUUAGGUACAAAUGAUACUGACCUAAAAGUGGAGUUGGAAGGUUCACCCUCAAUCAUGUUGACCUGAGGUUUAGGAUAGUUGUUCUGAUUGUUUUGGCCCUUCUUGUAGACAACCUUCUCUUUCUUCCGAUAAAAACAUUUUGAGGCAAAAUGGUUGUCACGGCCACAUACAUAACAGAAACCAUCCUUCUUCUUAUUCCCACUAGAUUGGUUGGUAUUGGGUUUCUGGGUGUGGUUUCGGUUUCGAUUUGGGUUCCUACCUUUAAAGCCUUUACCCUUAGGUUUAAAAUUUUUACCUUUAGGUUUAGACUCAUGGCUCUGGUUCUGAAUCUCGGUCAGGUUUAUGUUUGAUCGGUUGUUGGACGGUUUAAUCUCUCUAAGUCGAUAUUGGUCUUCUAUUCUAAUGGCUUGGAUUACCGAUCUAAGUUUAAGAGUUUCCUGGGUACGUCUAAGCUCAUGGGCAAAUUUGGUCUAGGAAGGGGGUAAUUUAUCCAAUAGACAGGUUGCCUGAUAGGUUUCAUCUAGGGUUGAUCCAUUCCUAUGAAUCUCUUGGACAAAAUUCUGAAAUUGGUGGAUUUGAUCGUUUAUAGGAAUGUUGUCUACCAUUCUAAAAUUAUUAAAAUCGGUAAUGGUAAAUCUGACGACACCUUCAUUAUCUCUAAUGUAGGCAUCUUCUAAGGCAAGCCAUAAAUCUUUGGCAGUUUGAUAUUUCCUAUAGGUUUCAUAAAGUUCGUCAGAUAGGCAGUUAAGUAUUCUAAACCUACAGUGAAAUUCAAUUUCCUCGGGAGAUUUGUCAGUUUGUCAGUUUUAUGUUCUGUAACUGAGGUGGUAGCAGAUUUAGAAGAAUCAGAUGGAGGAGUCACAAUAGGAGGAUCAGAAGAAUUUUUAGAAGUAGGAUAAGGAGGUGUUUUUCCAAUUGCAGUUAUGAGGCCUAAGGUGAUAAGCCAAGCCUCUAACUGUUCUUGCCACCUCAAAAAACCUACCCCUUUAAAAUUUUCUGGUUUAAGACUAGAAGUGUCAUCAAAACCCAUUCUAAAUAAUCUAGUUGAGGGAACAAAGAAAUUAAGGAUGAUUGAAAAGAGCUGCAAAAAAGGUUCAAAAAACCUUUUUAGAAAAAUAAACAUGUUGUUAAGGUUUCUACCCUAGUCAACCAGAAUAUUUUAGGGUUUAAGUUUUUAAAAUUAAUCUCUUAUGAAAGUUCGUUCAGCAGCAAACAGAUGGCCCAAACAAUUUAAAUAUUUGAUUUCAAUUAACUAAUUUUAAACAGAUAAUAUAUGCAAUGAGAUAAUAUUUAUACAGCAAAUAGAGUUAAGAAUCUACUGCAAUAAUAAAAGAAUAGAAAGUAAAAGUGGUAGUGCUGGUUAGAGGGAGUAGUGUUUGAAGAUGCUAUAUAGACCAAUCGUGGGUUCAAAUCCCAAUUGAAACAGUUUUUCAAAAAAUAUUGUAGCAAUAUUUUUUUUUUUUUAUCAAACAAAAUUUUACGGUAGCAAAACCGAAACAGUAAAAUAUAUAUGUUUUUUUUUUUUUUUUUUUUUUUUUUUUUUUUUUUUUUUUUAUUUUUUUAAUAAGGCCGUACAGUGCAAAAUAAAAUACUGUAGCAAAGUUCUUCCUUUUUAAAAAAUUUUUUACUGUAGCAAGUUGAAACCGCACACUGGAAUUUACCGUAGAAAGAUUUUUUAUUAUUUUUUUUAUUUAUUUUUUUUUUAAUAUCAAAACAGUAAAAAAUAUAUAUAAAUUAAACUUUAAGAAAAAGCAGUAUACUAAAAAAAAAUAAGUUACUGUAGCAAAUAAAUUUUUUUUAAAAAUCCGUACAAGUUUGUUUAAAACUUCUAACAAACAGUAAACCCUUUUUUUUUUUUUAAUUUUAAAUAACAGACGAAGACAAAUAAAAGAUACAAGCAAACUAUAUGCAAUUAAAAUUUGAAGAUGCUAAUCCCAACUUAAAUUAACUUUGUAUGUCAAUCAUACAAGCAAGUUAUCAAACAAAUUAUAUACAACAUGCACAAUUUUAUUUUCUUUGGAUUAGCACUCGUUAGAUUUAAAUCACAAUCAAAUCGGAAGUACGCCUUAGAUUGUUGGGGAACAAACCGCAACGAACUUCGAUUGUGACUAAAUCUAACUAAUUUUGUGAUUAAAUAAAUAAAACCUACUUACCGACAAUCGCUAAAUUCCAAAAAAAAUUGUGGAAGAAGAAUAUCAAAUUAAUUUGAUCUGGAAGCGUGCGAGGCACUGUCCUAAGGCGUAUUUCCGUCCUUCGUGCGGGAUUAACCGGAAACACCGCCCCAAGAUACGACCGGAACCCCUCCUCCUACGGACACGAACGCGGAAGAGGUUUGUUACGUACCUGACUCGGCGCAACCCGUCGAUGAUGAUAUAUCGCUGAGAUGAAGGACGGCGUCGAGGAUGAUGAUACGCGUAACAGCUUGCCUCGGAUCGAUCGGAUCAGAAUCAAGGUAUUCGAUAAGAAGAUGAAGAGAAUAGUUAGAAGAAGAAAAUAGGAAGAAUAAGAAGAAGAGAAUAGAAAAGAUGAGAAAAGAUGGGAUUAAGAAGAGAGAUUAAGAGAUAUAAGAGUUAUUGAGAAAGAAGAAAGUUUCAUUAAUCUGCUUAACCAAGUCUCUGUUACACGCUGCCUUUUAUUGCUACAGAAAUAAAAAUUGAAAUAAAACCCUAACUCUAAGUGGGCUUCAAUCCUCCCUUCGCGGCCCAUCUCUUCACACAUAUGAAUUACCCCCCCUGGGCCUCGGCUGGGCUUGGCUGGGCUUGUUCGGACCAAAACUGCAGGAUAUGCGGGUAAGCGGAUCGCGGGUCCGCCUAAUCAGCACUAUCCGCAACCGAGCGGGGCUUGGGUUCGUGUUUUGCCUCCGAUCCAGAAGACCGCCCCUCCGACCCGCAAGCUUCCAUCUUCCCCAACCUUAGAUCCUGUUGGAUCUCCUUCUCCCUUCGGCUUCCCUCGCUCCGAUGCCUCUCCCCCACGAGCAUGGUUUCCGAAGGUUGAAGCUCCCCGUCCUAUGGAAUGAAGCAAGAGAAAGUUAAGCCCCAUCUCGCUGGUACUUAUUGCUACUAGACCUCAACACUAAUACUACUCCUAAUCCUCUCACUGUGCUUGGCAGGCGUAACAAUCCCUCCUCCUUCAGCUGAUCCUUGUCCUCAAGGAUCGAAGUUGGGAAACUGGUGCUUAAGCGUCCAAUAAUCCUCCCAGGUAGCCCGCUCGACCGGUAAGUUACUCCACUGUACCAAUACUUCGGUUGCCGCUCGGUUUCCGCGUUGCCCCAUCCUCCUCUCGAUUAUCCGCUCGGGCUCAGCUAGCACUUCCCCUUCCUCGCCCACUAGGGGUAUCAUGGGCGAAGCCGUGACCGAACUUGGCGGGCUCUUCUUAAGAAGUGAUACAUGAAACACGGGAUGGACUCUAGAUCCUUCAGGUAACCGCAAUUUGUAAGCCACGGCGCCGAUGCGCUCCAAAAUUUGAAAGGGACCAAAGUAUCGAGCCGUGAGUUUAAUGUCUUUCCGUAUCGCGAUCGUUGACUGUCUAUAGGGCUGUAACUUGAGGUAUACCCAAUCUCCAACUGUGUACUCUCUUUCCUUCCUAUGUUUGUCCUCCUGCUGCUUCAUUCGGUUUUGGGCCACUUGGAGACGAUCCCGCAGCUCCUUGGUUAACUUGUCUCUUUGCAUCGUCCACUCCUUAACUUCGUGAGAAGUGACUGUGUCCACAGCGGCCACCAGAUAGUUUGGAGGCGGCAACCCAUACAGUGCUUCGUAUGGUGUCAUGCCUAGUGAAGAGUGGAAAUUGGUGUUGUACCACCAUUCUGCCAAAGCCAUCCACGAAUUCCAUUGCUUGGGAUGUUGAAAACAAAAGCAUCUGAGAUAUGUUUCUAGACAUCUGUUAACCCUUUCGAUCUGCCCGUCAGUUUGCGGGUGAUACGCAGAACUCAUGUGCAAUUUGGUUCCCAACGACUUAAACAACUCCGUCCAAAAUUGACUAGUAAAAAUCUUGUCCCUGUUGGAAACAAUUCUCUUCGGACAGCCAUGCAGUUUAUAGAUUGUGUUGAGAAACGCCUCGGCUACAUCUUUAGCUGUAAACGGAUGUUUUAGUGAUAUGAAAUGUGCAUACUUCGUUAGUCGGUCCACCACUACCAUUAUUGUGUCUUUUCCUCCUGAUUUCGGCAACGCUUCAAUGAAGUCCAUACUCACAUCCUCCCAGAUCUGUAGCGGAACGGGUAGUGGUUGUAAAAGUCCCGCGUACGGGGUUCCAUCCACCUUGUUUUGAACACAGACUACACAAUUUCUCACCCACUCCUCAACAUCCUUCCUCGCUCCUGGCCAAUAGAAAUGCUGUCUAAUCCUUUUAUAUGUGUUAUGGAUUCCGGAAUGCCCUCCCAAAGCCGAAUUGUGCAUUUCGGUUAAUAUUUUUGUUCUCAACCCUCCUGUGCUGCCUAUAUAUAUUUUUCCCUUAUGUCGCAGAACUUCAUUGCCAUACGAGUAAUGUCCUUGGGUGGUUGGUUGCAAUGUUAGCUCCCUUAUCAGUCUCUCACAGUCGGAAUCCCCGAGAAAACUAUCAACCACCUCUUGUACCCAUGCUGGCACUACUGCGGAGAUGGCUAAAGUAACCCCUUCUUCUUCUCCUCUCCUCGAAAGUGCAUCAGCAACCACGUUCUCUUUCCCCUUUUUAUAUUGAAUAGUAUAAUCGAGUCCCAUCAACUUCAACAUGCCUUUCUGCUGCAUCGGUGUGGAUAUUCUUUGUUCCAACAGAUGCUUCAAGCUCUCAUGGUCGGUUCUGAUUAUGAAGGUUCUCGGGCUCAAGUAGUGUUUCCACUUCUGUACCGCCAUCAGUAUAGCCAAGAAUUCUUUUUCGUACGUCGAUAACCCAAGGUGUCUACUUCCUAUUGCUUUGCUCAAGUAGGCAAUGGGCCUCCCUCCUUGGGACAUCACUGCUCCAAUUCCCGUUCCGCAAGCGUCCACUUCUAUGGUAAACGGCUGAUCGAAAUCGGGCAUGGCCAGCACGGGUGCUCGCGUCAUGGCCAAUUUUAGUUCCUCGAAAGCUGAUUGUGCCUCUGCGCUCCAAUGAAAUUGAUCUUUCUUUAACAUGUCAGUAAGGGUUUUACUGAUCGCUCCGUAUCCUUUAACGAACUUCCGAUAGUACCCUGUCAAUCCUAAAAACCCUCGCAGCUCUUUCACAGAUUUUGGGGUUGGCCAGUUCAACAUCGCUUCGACUUUAGAUGGGUCUGUCGCCACUCCUUCGGCGGAAAUUAUGUGUCCUAAGUACUCCACCGCGUGUUGCCCAAAGUAACACUUACUUCGCUUUGCGUACAACUUGUUCCUCCUCAAUUCUCCGAGUACGUCCUUCAAGUGUCUCGUGUGGUCCUCGAGAUUCCUACUGUAAAUUAAUAUGUCAUCAAAAAAUACUAAUACAUACCUUCUUAGGUAGGGUUCAAAUACGCCAUUCAUGAUCGCCUGGAAGGUGGCGGGGGCGUUCGUGAGGCCGAAGGGCAUGACCCGGAAUUCGUAAUGACCCUGAUGAGUUCGAAACGCUGUUUUAGGCACAUCGGCGGGAUCCAUCCGAAUCUGGUGAUCGGUAUCGAUUAGAAGGGUGAGUGUUCUAUUCUUUGCUUCGCCCCGUAUCUUAAUGGUGUCUUGAGGCUUCUCCCCACUUAGCACAUGGACUGAAACUCCGAUUUCUUGUGCUUCUUCAUUGUCCGGUAUAGUCCCAAGACCUUGCUCUUCCCCGUCUACAACUCCUCCUUCACCCGUAUCUUCAUGCAAACAGUCCUCAUCGUAAAUCUCCACGAUCUCCUCGGAAGCCUGUAAGGUGUUUAAGGACUUACUAUUGCAUACAUGUCCUGGGUGGUACUUUUCUCCGCACCUGAAACACAGUCCUGCUGCUCUCCGCUGUUCGAUCAGCUGUUUGUUGGCCGGGUUUUGGGUUACUUGAAUUUUUUGUGAAGUUUGGUACGGGUUUCUUAAAUUUUCGCCACCCUUAUUAAACCCGGUUACAGUGUUGCUUCUGUAAGGCGAGGAUGAUUGGUACGGGCCUCCCGAACCUCUGGGUAAGUACUUGCUCCUUCUACUAAGCGCAGCUAUGGCCUUCUCGUGCAACUGUGCUUGCUCAUAAGUUUCUUCUAAAGUUUUCGGAUGCGCGAUGUCCAAAAAAUGGAUCAACUCCUCUUUGAGCCCAUUAAUAUAACAUGCAAUAAAGUAUUCUUCGGUUAAGUGCGGAUUGUAGUAAAGCAAUUGGUACCUUAAUUCCUCAAACCUUUCUUGAUAUUUCUCACAUGUUCCCGUGUGUUUCAGGUUGCUGAACUCUCGAAUCAGGUACCUUUUGCCUACUUGCGCAAACCUUCUGCACACUGCUUCGGUAAAUUCGUCCCAAGAAACCGUCUGUUUAUUGACGAAAUACCCCUGUUUCCAAGUCUUUGCCUUGCCGACCAAAUGCAUCGUCGCUACACUCAACCAUUGAUGUUGAGGUAUUUGGUAUAGCUCGAAAUAUUGUUCGCAAUUUUCGAUCCAACUUCUGGGAUCUUCCCCUUCGAAUGACGGAAAAUCUAAGCGAGGGUAGGGUAAAUGCUGAUGAUGAUUGGAACUUCGAUGACCCCACGGAGAAAUAUGCUCUUCCUCCGUUUCGAGUUGUUUGUUUGGAGUGGGUAGGAUGCCCUUACCUUUCUCCUCUCUGAUCAUAAUAGGUGUGCUGCUACUUCCCGGUUUGAAUUUGCGCUCGGAUGAGGGCGCCUCGUUUGGAGUCUUGAGUGUAGGUGGCUGGGCGGAUAUAAGCUUAAGCAGCUCCUCAUGUCUCUUAGCCGCCUCAGCUUGCAGCAAUUCGAACUGCCGUUGCCCUGUGUCCCUCACUUCGGUUAUCUGUUGGGUAAGUGCUUCUAUUUGAAAUUGAUGCUCCGUUCCCAACUUUUGGUACCUUUCUUCUAAAGUGUGGAUGUGAUCACUAAUAUCCCUUAGUCGGGUCCCUUCAGCCAUAGCUAUAUCCUCCAGAUACUCCUUUGGGUUAAAUCGAAACUUGUUGCCUCGCUUGCCCCCAAUCUUGCCGUGCCUGUGGGACAAUCUGAUCUGAGGAGUGUGGGGGAUUUCCUCUGAUCAGGCGGCAAUUUCAGGGUUACUUGUGGUGAUUUGUUUUGUCCAACUCUGACCGUGGUACAGAAUCGGCAGCACAGAAAUCUUUUUCGCAGUUAAACUCAACAAUGCUAGGAUUGGAGUUAGCAAGCGAUUUCACCACACAGAGCCCUGGGUUCGGACCGCUCUGAUACCAAUUGUUACGUACCUGACUCGGCGCAACCCGUCGAUGAUGAGAUAUCGCUGAGAUGAAGGACGGCGUCGAGGAUGAUGAUACGCGUAACAGCUUGCCUCGGAUCGAUCGGAUCAGAAUUAAGGUAUUCGAUAAGAAGAUGAAGAGAAUAGUUAGAAGAAGAAAAUAGGAAGAAUAAGAAGAAGAGAAUAGAAAAGAUGAGAAAAGAUGGGAUUAAGAAGAGAGAUUAAGAGAUAUAAGAGUUAUUGAGAAAGAAGAAAGUUUCAUUAAUCUGCUUAACCAAGU
rnacentral:lncRNA from 1 species